UACAGAGGUGGCAAGCGUUGUUCGGAAUUACUGGGCGUAAAGGGCGCGUAGGCGGCCAUCUAAGUCAGACGUGAAAUCCCUCGGCUUAACCGGGGAACUGCGUCUGAUACUGGAUGGCUUGAGAUUGGGAGAGGGAUGCGGAAUUCCAGGUGUAGCGGUGAAAUGCGUAGAUAUCUGGAGGAACACCGGUGGCGAAGGCGGCAUCCUGGACCAACACUGACGCUGAGUGAGCGAAAGCCAGGGGAGCAAACGGG
rnacentral:rRNA from 1 species